CAGCAGCCGCGGUAAUACGGAGGGUGCGAGCGUUAUCCGGAAUUACUGGGUUUAAAGGGUGCGUAGGCGGCCAAGUAAGUCAGGAGUGAAAGUUUGCGGCUCAACCGUAAAAUUGCUUUUGAUACUGCUAGGCUAGAAUUAGGAUGAGGUCAGCGGAAUGUGGCAUGUAGCGGUGAAAUGCAUAGAUAUGCCAUAGAACACCAAUUGCGAAGGCAGCUGGCUGGACCUAUAUUGACGCUGAGGCACGAAAGCGUGGGGAGCGAACAGGAUUAGAUACCCUGGUAGUCCACGCCCUAAACGAUGCUUACUCGACGUAUGUCGCUAGACGAUGUGCGUCCAAGGGAAACCGUUAAGUAAGCCACCUGGGGAGUACGACCGCAAGGUUGAAACUCAAAGGAAUUGACGG
rnacentral:rRNA from 1 species